CGAACGGGUGAGUAACGCGUGGGUAACCUGCCUUGUACAGGGGGAUAACAGUUGGAAACGGCUGCUAAUACCGCAUAAGCGCACGGCAUCGCAUGAUGCAGUGUGAAAAACUCCGGUGGUAUAAGAUGGACCCGCGUUGGAUUAGCUAGUUGGUGAGGUAACGGCCCACCAAGGCGACGAUCCAUAGCCGACCUGAGAGGGUGACCGGCCACAUUGGGACUGAGACACGGCCCAA
rnacentral:rRNA from 1 species